rnacentral:lncRNA from 1 species
UAGCAACUGCCGUUGUUGGGUUUGCUGCUCUCUUCGCGUUCGUCUUUGCCUUCUCCAUCAAAGUCUUCAAUUUCCAAAGAAGAUAAGAGCACCAUCUCAUCUUGAUUCAAGUUUGGAUAAGUUUGCUGUUGAGUACUGGCACACAGCACUGUAAAUGAGGAGAGAAUGUAUUCAGUAUUUGUUUCAUUCGUAGGCAAUUGACAUCUCUAUCUGUUCAGUUUGGCAUUUAUCAAACAGAUAAGAGGCAUGUAUGUAAACUGUAAAAAUAUGCAAUAGUUCCAUGAUGUAAUUUUUUCCAUAAUAUUGUCAAGUAUUUGUUCAAUUGAAUCUCACUGCCUUCAAAAAGCAGCAAAUGAAACAUUAAUGUGAAAAAAAAAAGAUGGCACUGCUAUAUAAUGCUGAAAACAGUAGAAACUUUAGAAAUCUACUACAAACACUAGCAUUAGGAACUGAUAUAAUCAAUAAUUCAAGAUUGCUGAUGAUGUUGUGUGUUCAGCAUAUAAUUAAUAAUUUACGAUUAUUGUGAUAACAUAUUACCAUUUGGAUUAAAAAUAACCUUGAUGCGAAUUUUAAAUGAGACGUGACUCACAUUUCUAGACAGCAGGACAGCAAAAGUAUUGACAACCAAAGACAAAUUCAGAUAUCCAACUAUUGAAGCUUCUAAGGUGUGCCAUAUAUUUAACUAUUGGAUAAUUUGGGAGGCUUAAAGAAUAUCGAUAAAGGUUUGCAAUUUUGCAUAAGAAACGAAUUUUAUAGUCAAGACUGAUUGUCAUAUGAAAAUAACAUUCCAAAAGCAAACUAUACUUUGAGACAAAGUUUUAAACAGACAUCCAGCAAGGACAGGCCAGAUUGUCAUAUAAAAAUAACAUUCCAAAAGCAACUAUACUUCGACACAAACUUUUGAACAGACAUCCAGCAAACCUCUGGUUUACAAGAAUGUACAGAGCAUGGACUGCAUCAGGGAUUAUUGCAGUCAUAUUCACAAAAUAACUUGUGCCAUUUAUUGAGCGGCCUUUGUCUGUCAAUCAAUUUGGCCCAACCAAGGGAAAGAAAGAUGACUGUUCAACAACUAUAUUGCACAUUUCAACAUGUGAUAGUUUCUCUUAGGCAAAAAAACAACAUGGCCUAGUUGCUUAAAAACCGGGGGAGGGGGGACUUCUCUAUACAAAAGUAUGGCAUUGUUAACUAACAAUAAGUCGAAAACAGAUCCAUAGAAUCGAUAGUCAACUUUUUUUUUUGCAGCAAUAUCGAUGGUUAACUGACUGUGAGAAAUAAAUUGUUGAUUUAGAUUAGUCGUUGUUUUCACGAAACAAUGUAAUCCUCCAAAAUUGACAUUGGACUCUUGGUAAUCCUCGGAAGAUUUUGUCAAAAUUGCCAAAGUGUUCCACAACAAAAGCACAAGUGGAAAUGGUGAUAAACAGCAAUCGCACCACCAAAUUCAGCGCAACUCAGAAAUCCCCAAACAAUUCCCCUCCAGCCGCACUAGCUCAGGUACAGAAACAGGCACAUUUUGCAGGGGAUCAUCCAACUACCCAGCACUAAACAAUCGAUGGAAGUACAGAUCAACAAGAUCGCCUCCCACAUUCAUACAGCAACUAUAGACUGGUAAUUCGCGAUGGCAACAUACACCCGCAGGAAGAUUAGGCGCGGGAUGGAUCUGACUCUGAGGAGAAGUAGGGUUACAGGAUCGUUACCCAGAGCCACGCCGACCAAGCGCCGGAGUAACGCGGGCGGCGGCGGCCACGAUCCGCCCGUGGGCCGGCCGCCGGAUCGGCAUCGCCGCCGGUCAGCGCGGUCGCGGGGCACCUCGGAUUUCGCGCCUGGGUUGGGUUCAGAUUUCAGGGCUUUUA